AGAGUUUGAUCCUGGCUCAGGACGAACGCUGGCGGCGUGCCUAAUACAUGCAAGUCGAGCGAGAACCUGGGCUUCGGCCCUGGGGACAGCGGCGAACGGGUGAGUAACACGUGGGUAAUCUGCCCUUGACAUCGGGAUAGCCCGGGGAAACCCGGAUUAAUACCGAAUAGCCUCCGGAGCCUUCGGGCGCCGGAGAAAAGGUAGCUUCGGCCUCUGGUCAAGGAUGAGCCCGCGGCGGAUUAGCUUGUUGGCGGGGUAACGGCCCACCAAGGCGACGAUCCGUAGCUGGUCUGAGAGGACGAUCAGCCACACUGGGACUGAGACACGGCCCAGACUCCUACGGGAGGCAGCAGUGGGGAAUCUUGCGCUAAUGCGGGAAACCGUGACGCAGCGACGCCGCGUGGGGGAAGAAGGCCUUCGGGUUGUAAACCUCUUUCAGGAGGGACGAAGCUACUCGGGUGAAUAGCCCAGAGGGUGGCGGUACCUCCAGAAGAAGCCCCGGCUAACUACGUGCCAGCAGCCGCGGUAAUACGUAGGGGGCUAGCGUUGUCCGGAUUUAUUGGGCGUAAAGAGCGUGUAGGCGGCCUGGUAGGUCCGCUGUGAAAACUCGAGGCUCAACCUCGAGAUGUCGGCGGAAACCACUUGGCUAGAGUCCGGAAGAGGAGAGUGGAAUUCCCGGUGUAGCGGUGAAAUGCGCAGAUAUCGGGAAGAACACCUAUGGCGAAGGCAGCUCUCUGGGACGGUACUGACGCUGAGACGCGAAAGCGUGGGGAGCGAACAGGAUUAGAUACCCUGGUAG
rnacentral:rRNA from 1 species